CCCGUCGGGCGCAAGCGUUGUCCGGAAUUAUUGGGCGUACAGAGCUCGUAGGCGGUCUGUUGCGUCUGCUGUGAAAACUCGGGGCUUAACCCCGAGCCUGCAGUAGAUACGGGCAGACUAGAGGUAGGUAGGGGAGAAUGGAAUUCCCGAUGUAGCGGUGAAAUGCGCAGAUAUCGGGAGGAACACCGGGGGCGAAGGCGGUUCUCUGGGCCUUACCUGACGCUGAGGAGCGAAAGCGUGGGGAGCGAACAGG
rnacentral:rRNA from 1 species